rnacentral:misc_RNA from 1 species
AUAUGAUCAAAAUGAUCGCAGCACUAAUUACCAAAAGUCAGUGGCACAACUAAGUAGUCUCUCAUUAAAAAUGGUCAACACAAAAUUCUAAUGGGUUCACCAAACAGUUCUCAGUAUUGCAAAACCCAGGAGAUUAAAAGCAGUACAAAAACCAGAUAAACCCAUCAAAAAAUAAACAAAAAUUAAUAAUUGCAACAAAAAAGGGAACCCCUCCCUCCAAAAAAGAGUGAACUCACAGGCUCAGAAUCGAGUUUUAUAGAGGGGCCAAUGACACUUUCACCAGACAAAAGUUGCCGA